GUUUCCUCCCCUUUAUUAAGAAUCUCCAUCAUUUCUUUGUUAUCAUAUUCAAAUUCAAUCUCCUUAUAUCUCUUAUCAAUUGUUCGUUUAAUCGCAAGUUUCAUCGUCAUCGUUUCAACGGCUAACAGAGCAUUCUCUCAUUGCGUGUAUCGUCUGUAUUCCUCUAAGCUGACAUCGUCUUCUAUAUAGAAAAUUGCACAUAGACCCCAAAAUCCUUUUGUUUUAGGCUUGCAUCGAUGUUGCAUCUAACUCUGGAUUGUUGGUUCAGGUUUUUCAACCUUCUGAGUCCUUCUCGUAUUAGUCUUAUUUUCUGGCAAAUGCAUACCUUUACUUAGCUUCGUAUGGAUAUAGGUUUGGUUAUUAAUAUCGUGAUGUUGUUAUUAAUCAUCAUUCUCUUUUGUUUUAUCCUGUUGAGUACCUGUGAUGUUCUUCCGAUGACUGUUCUUUAUGUUUAGGUUCAGAUUACCUUUUUCAUUUUUAAGGUAUGUAUAACCGCAUGUUAGUAUUAUUGUUUUUUCUUGUUUUUUCUGGUGAAGUCUUUGAGCCUUUUAACACUAUAGUGGUCCUUCCCAAGUUUA